AGAAUCAAACGCUGGCGGCGUGCCUAACACAUGCAAGUCGAACGGGAAGGGGGGCUUCGGCUCCCCGGAGAGUGGCGUACGGGUGAGGUAACACGUGGGUAAUCUGCCUUUGGGUGGGGAAUAACCGAUCCGAAAGGAUCGCCUAAUACCGCAUAACGCAGCGGCACCGCAUGGUGACAGUUGUUAAAGGGGGGGAUCUUCGGACCUCCUGCCUGAAGAGGAGCCCGCGCCCGAUUAGCUAGUUGGUGAGGUAACGGCUCACCAAGGCUUCGAUCGGUA
rnacentral:rRNA from 1 species